rnacentral:rRNA from 1 species
UUUUAUGGAGAGUUUGAUCCUGGCUCAGGAUGAACGCUGGCGGCGUGCCUAAUACAUGCAAGUCGAGCGAACGGACGAGAAGCUUGCUUCUCUGAUGUUAGCGGCGGACGGGUGAGUAACACGUGGAUAACCUACCUAUAAGACUGGGAUAACUUCGGGAAACCGGAGCUAAUACCGGAUAAUAUUUUGAACCGCAUGGUUCAAAAGUGAAAGACGGUCUUGCUGUCACUUAUAGAUGGAUCCGCGCUGCAUUAGCUAGUUGGUAAGGUAACGGCUUACCAAGGCAACGAUGCAUAGCCGACCUGAGAGGGUGAUCGGCCACACUGGAACUGAGACACGGUCCAGACUCCUACGGGAGGCAGCAGUAGGGAAUCUUCCGCAAUGGGCGAAAGCCUGACGGAGCAACGCCGCGUGAGUGAUGAAGGCCUUCGGAUCGUAAAACUCUGUUAUUAGGGAAGAACAUAUGUGUAAGUAACUGUGCACAUCUUGACGGUACCUAAUCAGAAAGCCACGGCUAACUACGUGCCAGCAGCCGCGGUAAUACGUAGGUGGCAAGCGUUAUCCGGAAUUAUUGGGCGUAAAGCGCGCGUAGGCGGUUUUUUAAGUCUGAUGUGAAAGCCCACGGCUCAACCGUGGAGGGUCAUUGGAAACUGGAAAACUUGAGUGCAGAAGAGGAAAGUGGAAUUCCAUGUGUAGCGGUGAAAUGCGCAGAGAUAUGGAGGAACACCAGUGGCGAAGGCGACUUUCUGGUCUGUAAC